AGAUUGAACGUUGGCGGCAGGCCUUAUACAUGCAAGUCGAACGGUAACAGCGGAGCUUGCUCCGGCUGACGAGUGGCGGACGGGUGAGUAACGCGUAGGAAUCUACCCAGUAGCGGGGGAUAGCCCGGGGAAACUCGGAUUAAUACCGCAUACGCCCCACGGGGGAAAGGCCGGGACCUCUUCGGAGACCGGUCACUAUUGGAGGAGCCUGCGUUGGAUUAGCUAGUUGGUGAGGUAAAGGCUCACCAAGGCUACGAUCCAUAGCUGGUCUGAGAGGACGAUCAGCCACACUGGAACUGAGACACGGUCCAGACUCCUACGGGAGGCAGCAGUAGGGAAUAUUGUGCAAUGGGGGAAACCCUGACACAGCCAUGCCGCGUGUGUGAAGAAGGCCCUAGGGUUGUAAAGCACUUUCAGUAGGGAGGAAAAAGCCGGAUUAAUACCCCGGUCUUAUGACGUUACCUACAGAAGAAGUCCCGGCUAACUCCGUGCCAGCAGCCGCGGUAAUACGGAGGGGACUAACGUUAAUCGGAAUUACUGGGCGUAAAGCGCGCGUAGGUGGUUUAUUAAGUGGGAUGUGAAAGCCCCGGGCUUAACCUGGGAACUGCAUUCCAAACUGAUAAACUAGAGUACGAUAGAGGGGGGUAGAAUUCAGAGUGUAGCGGUGAAAUGCGUAGAUAUUCUGAGGAAUACCGGUGGCGAAGGCGGCCCCCUGGAUUGAUACUGACACUGAGGUGCGAAAGCGUGGGGAGCAAACAGGAUUAGAUACCCUGGUAGUCCACGCCGUAAACGAUGUCUACUAGCCGUUGGGAGGCUUGACCUUUUAGUGGCGAAGCUAACGCGAUAAGUAGACCGCCUGGGGAGUACGGUCGCAAGAUUA
rnacentral:rRNA from 1 species